GGCCAGGUACGGGCCCGGGGUCCGCGGGGCCGGUGCCGCCAUGGCGGCCGUGUUUGAUUUGGAUUUGGAGACGGAGGAAGGCAGCGAGGGCGAGGGCGAGCCAGAGCUCAGCCCCGCGGUGAGUGCCCUGCCCUGGCGCGACUGGAUCCUGGAGCCGAUCCUGUCACCCAGCCGAGGCCGGAGCGGCGGCUCCGCACGCCCAGAGCGGGCUCAGACCCUUUGCAGACCCAGAUCUUUCUCAGAUCCCGGUCUCUAUUAAGCUCUGAUCCCACCCUCACCCCGACCUCUCUUCCAGAACCCCAACCUUUUCUCCCGAUUCUCCCUUUCCUGCCUUCGGCUUCUUCCCAAUUCUUGCCCAUCCCCUACUAGCUGCCAUCCCUGACACCGUUCUCUCCUGGGCCACGCAGUCCAACCUGAACGGGAGCGGGGAGGUAUCCUGGCACCUUCCUUGGCUCUUACCCCUCGGUUUCUCACAGGACGUGUGUCCCGUUGCCGAGUCGAGGGCAGCUGGCCUAGAGUGAGUGAGGGUCGUGUUGGGGGAGGGGGGAAUGGAGUGGGGAAGGGGAACUGGGGAGCACUGGAGCCUUGUCCUCAUUAACUCCUUGUGUCCGUAGGCCUGUGGGACACUAUGAAGAGGUGGAGCUGACUGAGACCAGCGUGAACCUUGGCCCAGAGCGCAUCGGGCCCCACUGCUUUGAGCUGCUGCGUGUGCUGGGCAAGGGGGGCUAUGGCAAGGUGUUCCAGGUGCGAAAGGUGCAAGGCACCAACUUGGGCAAAAUAUAUGCCAUGAAAGUCCUAAGGAAGGUGAGUCACUCGUUCAGCCAACGAAUACUGUGUGGCUGCCAUUCCCAACGUGCUGUACCAGGCUUUGGGAAGACAGCAGGGAACACAAUGGAGGAGGAUCCCUGACUUUGGCAUUUGCUGGUUUAUUGUCUGUUGUGAUGUGUAUUGUCUUGCAGUAAUUCUCAAUGGGGGCCAUUUUGACUCCCAGCAGACAUUUGACAACAAUGUCUGGACACUAUUUUAUUUUUUUUGAGACGGAUUCUCGCUCUGUCACCCAGGCUGGAGUGCAGUGACGCGAUCUUGGCUCACUGCCACCUCCGUCUCCCAGGUUCAAGCGAUUCUCGUGCCUUAGACUCUGGAGUAGCUGGGAUUACAGGCGCUUGCCACCACACCCAGCUAAUUUUUGUAUUUUUUUGUAGAGGCGGGGUUUUGCCAGGCUGGUCUCUAUCUAACUCCUAAUCUCAGGUAUCUGCCCGCCUUGGCCUCCAGCUGGGAUUACAGGCAUGAGCCACCAUGCCUAGCCUUUGUUUUUUUUUUUUUUUUUUGAGAUGGAGUCUUGCUUUGUCCCCCAGACUGGAGUGCAGUAGUGCACUCUGCUCACUGCAACCUCUGCCUCCUGGGUUCAAGUAAUUCUCUUACCUCAGCCUCCUGAGUAGCUGGGACUACAGGCUUGUGCCACCACACCUGGCUAAUCUUUGUGUUUUUAUUUAUUUACUUACUUAUUUUGAGAUGGAGUCUCACUCUGUCACUCAGGCUGGAGUGUAGUGGUGCGAUCUCAGCUCACUGCAACCUCCACCUCCCAGGUUGAAGUGAUUCUCCUGCCUCAGCCUCCCGAGUAGCUGGGAUUACAGGCGUGAACCACCACGCCUGGCUAAUUUCUUUUGUAUUUUUAGUAGAGAUGGGUUUUUGUCAUAUUGGUCAGGCUGGUCUUGAACUCCUGACCUCAGGCGAUCCGCCCACCUCGGCCUCCCAAAGUGCUGGAAUUACAGCCAUGAACCACCAUGCCUGGCCUAGUGUUUGUACUUUUUAGUGGAGGCAGGGUUUCACCAUGUUGGUCAGGCUGGUCUCGAACUCCUGACCUCAGGUGAUUUGCCCGCCUCAGCCUCCCAAAGUGCUGGGAUUACAGGUGUGAUCCACUGCACCUGGCAUGGACACAUUUUUGAUUGUCAAGGCAAGAGGGGAGUGUUACUGGCACCUGGUGGGUGGAGACCAGGGAUGCUGCUGAACAUCCCAUGAUGUGCAGGGCAGCUUCCCACAACAAAGAAUGACCUGGUCCCAGGUGUCAGUAGUGCCGAGGUUGAGAAACCCUGUGUUAGAGGAUAAACCCAUCCCCGAAAAUGAUGGUGGCUGACAGCAGCAGAAUUAUGGAGAAAUACAAUGCAGUGACAGAGGAUGGCAGCAGGUAACAGAUGGAUGGUCUGAGGAGCUCUGGAUGCCCCCAGUUUUUUUUUUUUUUUUUUUUUUUUUUUUUUUUGAGAUAGUGUCUCGCUCUGUCACCCAGCCUGGAGUGCAGUGGCGUGAUCUCAGCUCACUGCAACCUCUGCCCUUGGGUUCAAGCGAUUCUCCUGCCUCAGCCUCCUGAGUAGCUGGGAUUACAGGCGUGUACCAUCAUACCCAGCUAAUUUUUCUAGUUUUAGUAGAGACGGGGUUUUGCCAUGUUGGCCAGGCUGGUCUCAAAUUCCUGACCUCAGGUGAUCCGCCUGCCUCGGCCUCCCAGAGUGCUGGGAUUACAGGUGUGAACCACUGCGCCCAGCCUGGAUGCCUCAAUUUCUAACCAAUUCCUGUAUCUCCAGGCCAAAAUUGUGCGCAACGCCAAGGACACAGCACACACACGGGCUGAGCGGAACAUUCUAGAGUCAGUGAAGCACCCCUUUAUUGUGGAACUGGCCUAUGCCUUCCAGACUGGUGGCAAACUCUACCUCAUCCUUGAGUGCCUCAGUGGUAUGAGUGUGGGCCCAGGCAGGGGUGUUGGGGGUCGGGGGGCAGGGAGCCAGCAAAGGAAGCUCUGGGGGGAAGCUCUUGAGAGAUGUGUCUGUGGGAGUUGGCUAGGGGGCCCCCACUCUGUCCUACCCAUCCAGCCAUCCAUCCGUGCAUCCGUCCCAUCAUUCAUUCAUUCAGCAAACGUCUGUCCAGCACCUACUGUGUCCCUCACGUGUGUUGGGGGUGGAUGGGCAUGGCGGGAAUUUGGAUAGAAGUCCAGAGGAUGGUUGUGUCUCUUCCUACUCCCCUCCCUGUCUUGUUCUUCUCUCCCGUGUGCCCUGCAUCCUGUCAGGUCCCCAGUCCAACUAGUUCAUUCUCUGUAGCGUCCUCCUCUAUCUGUCCACUCUCAGGGGCCUGGUGGGGUGGCCAGAGCACUUUUCUAACUGGGAUGAGGCCUCCCGCUCACCUGCUUUCUAGUGUCUCCUCUGCCGACUGCUGAGGUCGUACGUAGAGCCUGGGGCUGCUCCCAGCCCUUCUAUUCAGAGUCCUGCGGCUGGCUGCCCAGAUCAAGCCUUGCCCCUAGGCUGGCUGUCCCCUGCUGGCUGUGAGCAGUCUUGGCCUGCCUUUCCCUCGUUUGGGCCAGAUGAACCCUGUGAGCUUCUGCCUCCAUGCUCUGCAUUCGCUCCGUCCAUCUCAGCAUCCCCUUAAAGUCCCAGCAAACCGCGCUUUCUCUGUUCUGUUCUGUUGGGAUUCACUCUGUCUUCCCCGUUUCCUCUGCGAGAUCUUUUGGGCUAAGCUCUUGGAGCUGUGGCCUGGGCCUGGCGUAUUAGAGCCGUUGUGUACAUGUCUGUCUCCCCAGUAGACUGAGCAUCCUGAGGGCAGUGGCUGGGUCUCUUCAUCCUGUCCCCAGCUUCACCCAGCACAGGGCCAGGCACCGAGUAGGCGUCGGUAGAUGUUUGCUGAAUUGAAUUGAAUCCCCACGGCAGCUCUGUGAGGCAGGUAGGGUGGGAAUUAUGAGCCCCUCUUUCCCCAAGAAGAAAUAAAGACUCAGAAAGCGCAAAGGGGCUUGGACCCAGCACGUGGCUGCUGACGUGUUUGUGUGGCAGGUGGCGAGCUCUUCACGCAUCUGGAGCGAGAGGGCAUCUUCCUGGAAGACACGGCCUGGUGGGUGUUACUCCUCCGCUUUCCUGAGGCCGCCAGGUCCCUGCCCUACUCCCGCCUUCACCCUGUCUUGUUUCUGCAGCUUCUACCUGGCCGAGAUCACGCUGGCCCUGGGCCAUCUCCACUCCCAGGGCAUCAUCUACCGGGACCUCAAGCCCGAGAACAUCAUGCUCAGCAGCCAGGGCCACAUCAAACUGACCGACUUUGGACUCUGCAAGGAGUCGAUACAUGAGGGCGCCGUCACCCACACCUUCUGCGGCACCAUUGAGUACAUGUAAGUGGCACCUGGCUGGCCCAGGGGUCGGGAGGACAGCCUGAAGGGGCAUGGCCUGACUGACAGUUCCACCUGGACCCCAGGGCCCCUGAGAUUCUGGUGCGCAGUGGCCACAACCGGGCUGUGGACUGGUGGAGCCUGGGGGCCCUGAUCCUCCCUUCACUGCAGAGAACCGGAAGAAAACCAUGGAUAAGAUCCUAAAGGGCAAGCUGGCGCUGCCCGCCUACCUCACCCCAGAUGCCCGGGACCUUGUCAAAAAGUUUCUGAAACGUAAUCCCAGCCAGCGGAUUGGGGGUGGCCCAGGGGAUGCUGCUGAUGUGCAGGUGGGUUUGGGACCACCACCAGGGGUAGGGCUGAGUCUCCAAGGGUGCCGGGAAUGGGGGCAGGGCCCCAGGGCAGAGGGAGUGACCAAGGGGGCAAGCAGGGUGAGCUGUUAGUGGGUUUGGGGCAUUCUCUACCUACAGAGACAUCCCUUUUUCCGGCACAUGAAUUGGGACGACCUUCUGGCCUGGCGUGUGGACCCCCCUUUCAGGCCCUGUCUGCAGUCAGAGGAGGACGUGAGCCAGUUUGAUACCCGCUUCACACGGCAGACGCCAGUGGACAGUCCCGAUGACACGGCCCUCAGCGAGAGUGCCAACCAGGCCUUCCUGGGCUUCACAUACGUGGCGCCAUCUGUCCUGGACAGCAAGGAAGGCUUCUCCUUCCAGCCCAAGCUGCGCUCACCCAGGCGCCUCAACAGUAGCCCCCGGGCCCCCAUCAGGUACUGAGGGACGUGGGGGUGUGUGGCUGGGGUAGGGACACUAGCAGGCAGGACACCAGCUCCAGCCUUGGGUGCCUUGGCCACGUCUGUCAGCCAGUGUUGGCUUCGGUUGCUGUGUCUACCAUGGGGACCUCAGUUCCUACACCCCUUGUGGCCAGGCUGCCUGGAUGGGAGUUUGUGGAGCCCAUGGCCUGUGUGCCUGGGCAGGUGGGAGAGGCUGCCUUCCCUGAUCGAGUACUGGCAGCCUCUGGCAGGGCCUAGGAGGCUCUUAUUCUGCCUUGGUUUCCCCUGCAGCCCCCUCAAGUUCUCCCCUUUUGAGGGGUUUCGGCCCAGCCCCAGCCUGUCGGAGCCCACGGAGCCACCUCUACCUCCACUCCUGCCGCCACCGCCGCCGCCACCCUCGACCACCGCCCCUCUCCCCAUCCGUCCCCCCUCAGGGACCAAGAAGUCCAAGAAGGGCCGUGGGCGUCCAGGGCGCUAGGAAGCUGGGUGGGGGUGAGGGUAGCCCUUGAGCCCUGUCCCUGCGGCUGUGAGGGCAGCAGGACCCUGGGCCAGUUCCAGAGACCUGGGGGUGUGUCUGGGGGUGGGGUGUGAGUGCGUAUGAAAGCGUGUGUCUGCUGGGGCAGCUGUGCCCCUGAAUCAUGGGCACGGAGGGCUGCCCGCCAUGCCCCGCGCUCAGCUGCUCCCGUGGAAGAUUAAAGGGCUGAAUCAUG
rnacentral:sRNA from 1 species